rnacentral:lncRNA from 1 species
GAUUUGAACGACGCCAAGCUGUUGGCUAAGCUUUUCGACGUGGUGGCUUUUACUCACGUGAUGCAUUUGGCGGCUCAAGCUGGAGUCAGGUACGCCAUGGAAAACCCCAACUCUUAUGUUCAUAGCAACAUCGCCGGUCUCGUCACGCUUCUCGAAAUUUGCAAAUCCGCUAAUCCCCAGCCAGCCGUUGUCUGGGCCUCCUCCAGUUCCGUUUACGGUCUCAACGAAAAGGUUCCUUUCUCUGAGGCCGACAGGACCGACCAGCCGGCUAGUUUGUAUGCCGCCACCAAGAAGGCAGGCGAAGAAAUA